rnacentral:rRNA from 1 species
GACGAACGCUGGAGGCGUGCUUAACACAUGCAAGUCGAACGAUGAAGUGGAGCUUGCUCCAUGGAUUAGUGGCGAACGGGUGAGUAACACGUGAAUAACCUGCCCUUAAUUUUGGAAUAACCCAGGGAAACCUGGGCUAAUACCGGAUAAGUAAACCUGUGGCAUCACAUGGUUUUGGAAAGUUUUUCGAUUAAGGAUGGAUUCGCGGCCUAUCAGCUUGUUGGUGAGGUAAUGGCUCACCAAGGCGACGACGGGUAGCCGGCCUGAGAGGGUGAACGGCCACACUGGGACUGAGACGCGGCCCAGACUCCUACGGGAGGCAGCAGUGGGGAAUAUUGCGCAAUGGACGAAAGUCUGACGCAGCGACGCCUCGUGAGGGACGAAGGUCUCCGGAUUGUAAACCUCUUUCAGCAGGGACGAAGCGAAAGUGACGGUACCUGCAGAAGAAGCACCGGCUAACUAUGUGCCAGCCGCCGCGGUAA